UUGAGGGUAACUGAAGUUCACCGUGGCCAAAAGCUUAAUGGUUAUUGUUCUUCAGCAGAGAUGAUUGGUUCCCUGUCCAAUGAAGAACCAGUAGAGUGAUGGAGUAGCAUGAGGUGAUGUGACUGGCAGACAUAUCAGGUGUCAAUUCCAUUAAAUAAUGGACUAGUUUCCUAGCUACCGGAGUUGAUUUUCCUGCCACCCUCAUCCCAUGGGUCUCCUGAAACUAUCUGCAAUUGGGCCACUACUACACCGAAGCAAAAUUUUUAAGAUUCCGCUGGAGUCAUCUAAUCCCUUGAACCAGAGUGCAAGCCACACCGCUUCUCAUAUCAGUGCUACAUUCUGCUUUGAAUCUUCCAGAGAAAACAGUAGCCUUUUAGAUUUGGCUGUCCAACUCUAUCAUUGUGUUUGUGCAGAGAGAGAUGAUUCAGAAAGAAACCAG
rnacentral:lncRNA from 1 species